CCUGGCUCAGGACGAACGCUGGCGGCGUGCCUAACACAUGCAAGUCGAACGGAGAUACGCGCUGAAUGGAUGGAGCUUGCUUUUGAAAUUCUUGUGUAUCUUAGUGGCGGACGGGUGAGUAACGCGUGAGCAACCUGCCUUUCAGAGGGGGAUAACGUUUGGAAACGAACGCUAAUACCGCAUGAGACCACGGUACUGCAUAGUACAGUGGCCAAAGGAGCAAUCCGCUGAAAGAUGGGCUCGCGUCCGAUUAGAUAGUUGGCGGGGUAACGGCCCACCAAGUCGACGAUCGGUAGCCGGACUGAGAGGUUGAACGGCCACAUUGGGACUGAGACACGGCCCAGACUCCUACGGGAGGCAGCAGUGAGGGAUAUUGGUCAAUGGGGGAAACCCUGAACCAGCAACGCCGCGUGAGGGAAGACGGUUUUCGGAUUGUAAACCUCCGUCCUCUGUGAAGAUAAUGACGGUAGCAGAGGAGGAAGCUCCGGCUAACUACGUGCCAGCAGCCGCGGUAAUACG
rnacentral:rRNA from 1 species